UACGAAGGGGGCUAGCGUUGUUCGGAUUUACUGGGCGUAAAGCGCACGUAGGCGGUUUGUUAAGUGAGAGGUGAAAUCCCAGAGCUCAACUCUGGAACUGCCUUUCAUACUGGCAAGCUAGAGUCCGGAAGAGGUGAGUGGAACUCCUAAGUGUAGAGGUGGAAUUCGUAGAUAUUAGGAAGAACACCAGUGGCGAAGGCGGCUCACUGGUCCGGUACUGACGCUGAGGUGGCGAAAGCGUGGGGAGCAAACAGGG
rnacentral:rRNA from 1 species